UUUCCGUAGGUGAACCUGCGGAAGGAUCAUUAUCGAAUUUCGAGGGGAAGGAAGAUGAGGAGUGGAGACUGUCGCUGGCUUUCCCGCCUGGGAAGCAUGUGCACGCCUUGCUUUUCGUUGACCUUUCUCUUACUCUCACACCUGUGCACCCAUUGUAGGUCCUCGAAAGAGGAUCUAUGGUUUUAUCAUCACACGCAUCGUAUGUCCAUAUAAUGUAACAUGAUCGUCGAUCGACCUCGCGGUCGGGUGGCGGUCUAAAUAAAUAGAUCCAACUUUCAGCAACGGAUCUCUUGGCUCUC
rnacentral:misc_RNA from 1 species